UACGGAAGGUGCAAGCGUUAAUCGGAAUUACUGGGCUUAAAGGGCGCGUAGGCGGGCCGUCAAGUCAGGGGUGAAAGCCCCCAGCUCAACUGGGGAAGUGCCUUUGAUACUGACGAUCUCGAGGGAGGUAGGGGCGUGCGGAACUUCCGGUGGAGCGGUGAAAUGCGUAGAUAUCGGAAGGAACGCCGGUGGCGAAAGCGGCGCGCUGGACCUCUUCUGACGCUGAGGCGCGAAAGCCAGGGGAGCAAACGGG
rnacentral:rRNA from 1 species